AGUUAUCAAAAGGAUGCAACUCCUGCCAGUGGUAAAGUCCAGUCUCCUCUGUCUGUUGAGACCACAGCUCUUCACAUCUCUGCCUCCUUUGGUGCCCAAGUGGCCCCCACCCACUUCCCCACAUUCAGCAGAGCCCCUCAGGGUGGGCUGACUCCUCCUGGUUUGGUGCCUGUUCUCUGCUGCAGUGACCAGCAGCUGGGUGAAAAGUGGCCACUGCAGCCCCACCCUCGCCCACUGCUUUCCGACACAUGGUCAGUCAGCUGUGUACAAACAGUUAGUGAGUUGCAUUCAACACAGAACCUGGCCCAAAAUAUCCUCAGUAAAUAUCAGCUUCCUUCACCCUUUCUCAUCCUUGCCAGCAGGGACAGGCUCUCUGACUUUGGACUGGGUCAGCUUAGCCACAGGCGGUGGGGUCUGUGCUCCCUGGAAUUCCCUUCCUCGAGUUCCAGGUGUUGAAAUAACUUUCUGGCCCCAAGAUGGAGCUACUCGUGGGGUUCCCAUCAGCACACCGAAACGUAGAUGACUUUCAUGUCAGUGCUCGUUUGACCAGAAACGCAGGGCAUCCAGCCAGCAGUCCUCGGACCACAGCCAGCUCUGGGCCUUCUCGCCCUACAAGCAGGCUACAUGGGCCCAGGCCCUCGCAGGCUUCCUCUCUGUCUCGUCUUCGUUCUCUACUCCUGAGAAAGCUUCUUGCCGUCUGCCCCACUUUGCAGGUUGAAAGGUCUGCUUCAUGAAACGUUAAUAUAUUUAUCACCUGAAUUGUUUUCUUUAGUCUUUCUCAGACACGUUAGAAAUGCCAGAGAGAGAGUUGUGGGUGACGUGGAAGGAGGCGUUAAGCAGUGGCGGAAACUCCUGAGGAUGUGGCGUCCAGAUGUCUACUUUGUUGUUGUUCAGUCACUCAGUUGUGUCCAGCUUUUUGCAACCCCAUGGACUAUGGCGCAUCAAGCUUCCCUGUCCUUCACUAUCUCCAGGACCUUGCUCAAACUCAUGUCCAUUGAGUCAGUGAUGGCAUCCAACCAUCUAGUUCUCUGUCAUCGCCUUCUCUUCCUGCCUUCAAUCUUUCCCAGCAUCAGAGUCUUUUCCAAUGAGUCGGCUCUUCCCAUCGGAUGGCCAUAGUAUUGGAGCUUCAGCUUCAGUCCUUCCAAUGAAUAUUCAGGAUUGAUUUCGUUUAGGAUUGACUGGUUGGAUCUCCUUGCAGUCCCGGGGACUCUCAAAAGUCUUCUCCAACACCACAGUUGAAAGCAUCAAUUCUUCAGCAUUCAGCUAUCUUUAUGGUCCAACUCUUGUCUGUACAUGACUACUGGAAAAACCAUAGCUUUGGCUAGACGGACCUUUGUCAGCAAAGUAAUGUCUCUGCUUUUUAAUAUGUUAAGUUUGUCAUAGCUUUUCUUCCAAGGAGCAAGCAUCUUUUAAUUUCAUGGCUGCAGUCACCAUCUGCAGUGAUUUUCGAGCCUAAGAAAAUAAAGUCUGUCACUGUUUCCAUUGUUUACUUAUUUGCCAUGAAGUGAUGGGACCAGAUGCCAUGAUCUUUGUUUUUUGAAUGUUGAGUUUUAAGCCAGCUCUUUCACUCUCCUCCUUCACCUUCAUCAAGAGGCUCUUUAGUUCCUCUUCGCUUUCUGCUGUAAGGGUGCUGCCAUCUGCAUAUCUGCGGUUAUUGAUAUUUCUCCCGGCAACCUUGAUUCCAGUUUGUGAGUCAUCCAGCCCAGCAUUUUGCAUGAUGUACUCUGCAUAUAAGUUAAAUAAGCAGAAUGACAAUGUAUUCCUUUCCCAAUUUGGAACCCCAUUGUUCCAUGUCUAGUUCUAACUGUUGCUUCUUGACCUGCAUACAGGUUUCUGAGGAAACAGGUAAGGUGAUAGGGUAUUUCCGUCUCUAAGAAUUUUCCAGUUUGUUGUGAUCCACACAGUCAAAGGCUUUAGCAUAGUCAAUGAAGCAGAAGUAGAUGGCUUUCUGGAAUUCUCUUGCUUUUUCUAUGAUCCAACAAAUGCUAGCAAUUUGAUCUCUGGUUCCUCUGCCUUUUCUAAAUCCAGCUUGAGCAUCUGGAAGUUCUCGGUUCAGUUACUGUUGAAGCCUAGCUUGGAGAAUUUUGAGCAUUCCUUUGCUAGCGUGUGAAAUGAAUGCAAUUGUGCAGUAGUUUGUACAUUCUUUGGCAUUGGAAUGAAAACAGACCUUUCCCAGUCCUGUGGCUACUGGUGAGUUUCCCAUCUUUGCUGGCAUACUGAGUGCAACACUUUCACAGCAUCUUUUAGGAUCUGAAAGAGCUCAACUGGAAUUCCAUCACCUCCACUAGCUUUGUUCAUAGUGAUGCUUCCUGAGGCCCACUUGACUUUGGACUCCACGAUGUCUGGCUGUAGGUGAGUGGUCACAUCAUCAUGGUUAUCUGGGUCAUAAAGAUCCUUUUUGUAUAGUUCUUCUUUGUAUUCUUGCCACCUUUUCUUAAUAUCUUUUGCUUCUGUUAAGUCCAUACUGUUUCUGUCCUUUAUUGUGCCCAUCUUUGCAUGAAAUGUUUCCUUGGUAUCUCUAAUUUUCUCAAAGAGGUCUCUAGUCUUUCCCAUUCUAUUGUUUUCCUCUGUUUCUUCGCAUUGUUCACUUAGGAAGGUUUCUUACUUCUCCUUGCUAUUCUUUGCAACUCUGCAUUCGACAAGUAUCUUUCUUUUCCUCCUUUGCCUUUUGCGUCUCUUCUUUUCUCAGCUAUUUUAAGGCCUCCACAGACAGCCAUUUUGCUUACUAGACAUCUAAAAUUAUCAUUCUGUGAAAUAUCGAAGUUUAUGUUCUCUUAUCCAUAUUCCUAUUGGAUUAUUUUCCCCUUCCAAUUUAUAGGAUUUCCAGCAUUUUGGGUGCCAGAAUAUCAAGUGUUGUAGACUUAAUAUCUAAUCUUUGAAUGAUACCAUCGCUUUUGUCUUCUACUAAAACCACUGGUUGCUAACAGCCUCAAUCUAUUUGCUUUAUCUUGACAUGUAUGUGUAUAUAUAAAAAUUUUAAAUUAUAUUUAAUAAACCUAUGCAAUACAGAAAGAUACAUUUAUGUUCUAUAUUUUGUGUAAAAUAUAAAAAUAGGCUGUCUUCAUGUCCAGAGACUUCAGUGUAGAAACAGGCAACCUUCUUAGUGGCUUUAAUGUCAACAUUAAAUAACAAAGGGAAAAGCAAACUCAUAGUGGAAACAAGUGACCGACUGCCCAGAAGGCGGUGGGCUCGCUGACCCUUCUCCUCCAAGGCAGGCAGGUGUGACGCAGCCCUACAGGCAAGGCUGAUGGGAAACCUAACCUCAGCUCCACUGGUAUCCCACCUACAAGGGAUCCUCCCCAAAAAGACUCUCCAGGGGCUGUCCUGCUUUCUCCUCCUGGACACCAGACUGUAACACACCUCACAGCAAAGUCAAGGAGGAGCAUCUGCUGGGAGGACCUCAAGCGUACCCACCCACGAGCUUCUCCAGAAGGGAAGUCUGUCUAGAACUUUACUGAGACAUAUCAUUUCAGAACCUUCUGAGAAAGAUGAUCAACAGGAAGCAUUUGGCUACCCAGUACCUAACAUUAAUAAGUGAUACAUUCCCUUAAGUUAACUGGCAUUGGCAGAAAAAGUGAUGUUUAGAUCUCUAAGCAUCUUAUUAAAACAAUUUCUUUUUAAAAAAUUUUUAUUUACUUAUUUUUGGCUGCACUGGGUCUUUGUUGCUGCACACGAGUGGGCUUUCUCCAGUUGCAGUAAGCGUGGGCUUCUCAUUGUGGUGACUUCUGUUGCAGAGCAUGGGCUCUAGACGUGGGGGCUCAGUGGAUGUGGCACUCGGGCUUAAUUGCUCCCACGGCAUGUGGGAAUCCUCCCUGACCAAGGACCGAACCCAUGUCACCUGCAUUAACAGGCAGAUUCUCAACCCCUGGACCAACAGGGAAGUUAUGUUAACCUCUUUAAAACAUUUUUUUUAUUACA
rnacentral:lncRNA from 1 species